rnacentral:snoRNA from 1 species
GUUUGCAUGAUGAGAAACCUUUUUUUAACAGUUAUCCCUGUCUGAAUGGGGCAAACAUCAAAGCUAACGCACCAUGUGUCGAGAAUUUUUUUAUACUCUGAGUCUUAC